rnacentral:lncRNA from 1 species
AACUGGACCUAUAGAUCCUCCAUCUCGGAGGAGGCCUUGAACUCCUCCACCGCUCGGGCCCCUACCUCCGAGACCAGGGACGGGAUCCGCACUUUCAGCUCAGAAACCUGUGCCUUCAGUUCGGAGACCUCAGCCUCAGCCUUCUUUCUCUCCUCCUCCAAGGCGGUCCUCAGAUCGGACGAGGUUCGUCCCUCCUUUUCCAGCACCUCUUGGAGACUUAGGACCUCGGCAAUCUUCU